AUGGAAGGGAGACACAGCACAUUACAUCUGUACCAACCCAUCAGGGAGUUGAUCUCUGUGAGGCCAUUCCUCCCCAAACUCAUCCACACCCCCAUCCCCAUCCCCAUCCACACCCACAGCCCCAUCCACACCCCCAUCCACAAACCCAGCCCUAUCCACAGAGGUUCUGGUGGUUCCACCCACAAGAUCCCCGCCUCUCGUAGGGGUCAACCAAUCAGUGCCCACCAUCUACUAGAGAAUGAGCUAGCAGAGACAGUGCAAAUGGGUCAGUCAGAAGAACAUGGUUUUAAAAAACAGAAACAGAGUUUGGAGGAGAACAUCGAAGCGUCAGACUCUGAGCUCCACUGGUUGGCUGACCUCCCCCUCUUACCUCUCUGCUCAGAGUGCAAGGCCAGGGUUGGGAUGGGGAACCAGGGAGAGAAGCUCAGGCACCUGGGCUCUGCGGAGAACCGGGAUGGUUGUUCCCCCAGAUUUCCACUAGAUCACCAGACAACCAGGAGGAGGAGUUCUGAGGGGCUGAGCUGCACCUGUAGCCUCCGACACACCCUCACCCUGUCCCCUGGGACCCCACAGACAGCAGGGACCUCCAGGCAAAGGAGGCUGAAGAGACUGUGGAUAAUGAGUGCUCCCCCAUCUGAGGAGACCCUUAGGUGGUGUAUUGUAGAGCCGAGGCCAGCCUAUCCUUCUGGCGAUAUCUCCAACUUCAAGGUCAUGGAAGGAAGAGAGAGAGAGAAGACGGAGAAGAGUGACACUGCCAUGGGGAGAGAGAGGGAGAGAGAGAAGAGGGACACUGUCAUGGGAGGAGAGAGGGAGAGAGAGAAGCGGGGCACUGUUAUGGGAGGAGAGAGGGAGAGAGAGAAGAGGGACACUGUCAUGGGAGGAGAGAGGGAGAGGAGGAAUACUGUAAUGGAGGGCAAAGAAGCCAUGCACGAGUCCCUCAGCGCUGUUCUAGACCCCCUCAGCUCUGUUCUAGACUCCCUCAGCUCUGUUCUAGACUCCCUCAGCUCUGUUCUAGACUCCCUCAGUGCUGUUCUAGACUCCCUCAGCUCUGUUCUAGACUCCUUCAGUGCUGUUCUAGACUCCCUCAGCUCUGUUCUAGACUCC
rnacentral:lncRNA from 13 species